rnacentral:tRNA from 1 species
GCCCGGGUGGCGAAACCGGCAGCCGCGGCGGACUUAAACUCCGCUGACCCGGAAGGGUCGUGUGGGUUCGAAUCCCACCCCGGGCA